GACGAAUGUCUGGAACUGUCCUAUUUUGGUUUAUUCUACCGGAUCCUGCCAUUGAUCUUGUAGGACCAAUCAUGACAUUAUUGCAAAGAAAACAUCAUUAAAAGGAUUAAAUGACAAAGUCCCUCUGUCAAACAAAUAGAUUUCUUUUACAUCAUAAUGAAAUUACAAGAAACUAUUUUGUAGAAAGUGUAGACUCUAUCUACGUCUUUGUUCUUUAAGAAACCUAGCAUCAAAUUGAAGAUUUUUCAUAUAACAAUAUUUAAAGUUAAAUCAUAAAAUGUAACAUAAUAUGUCUCAUAUGUUUAUCUACAUCUUGUGACAGUUGCUGGUGAAUAAUAGGACAGCAAGCGCCAGUGAAAUAGUUGCUUCAGCACUUCAUGACAAUUGCAAAGCUGUUCUUGUUGGCGAAAAGACUUUUGGCAAGGUUUGAACCACCCAAAAGAGGAUAUUGUGACGUUUUCUUUCCCUAUGAUCAACAGGAUUAUAUUAUGCCCUUUUUGUGUCUGGUAACUCAUGUCUAGGGUGAUGCAGGGCUUAAUCCAAUCUGUAUUUGAACUUCAUGAUGGUUCUGGUAUUGUCGUCACAGUUGGCAAAUACAUGACACCAAACCACAAGGAUAUCAAUGGGAAUGGAAUAGAACCGGAUUACAAUCGUCUUCCUGAUUUCAAUGAAGCCAGAGGUUACCUUUCACGAUGCGGAACAAAUAAAGCGGAUGCUCUGCCUGACUACUACACGACCCUCCAUGUCGCGCGCGCUGAUACGAUAAGCAGCGUAUCGGCGAGCGUCGAUACAGCCUCU